UUUGCUAUGGUGAACUUCUCCUGUUUCUAUUUUAAUCUUUGUUGAUCUGGAUUUAUACUGACCUCUCUUAGAGAAAUUAUUUUGUCUAACCUGUUUUUUCUUUUUCAUUAGGAUUUAAAUGAUUGUUUCAGCUAGAUCCCUGAGUGAGGUUUUUUUAUUUUGUUUGUUUGGUUUUGGGGGUUUUUUUGUGUGUAGGUUUCCUCUUUGGGAUUAUUUCUGUUUUAUUUUUGUUGUGUUGCUGUUUUCUUGGUGACCUACUUGCUGUCAUUAUGUUGAGACUCAGUCUUUUUGGCUAUGCACUUUUUAAAAGGCUGUUUCUAGAAAUCUGCCUGCUUGAACAGCAUACAAAUAAAACAACAGUUCUUCCUGCAAAAUUUGCCACAGCAUCUAUUACUUUUGGUCUUUUUCUGUGUUGGCUUUAGCUCUGGUAUUGAAAUGAAUAUGUAGUUUUCUAUCAACUCUAAGAUAUUGAAUACUGCAGUUUCUAGUGUAUUCCAAUUCUAGUUGAAGCAUCAAGCUGUGACUUUCCUUAGACACUGUUUUUGUAAAUAUGGCACUUUCUUACGAGGUUAAUCUAUUCCUAAUUAAUUAAGCCCUUGUACAAGUAAGCCAUUGGCAAAAGAAAGUUGAAAAUACAUUCCAUUCACAUUCCUAACUCCAUUCACGUCUCUGGAUUUACCAUCAAGGACAUACUUAUAUGGCUGAUUUUAGCUGGCAACAGUUAAAAAUGCUAUAAAGUCUGAGGCCAUGUAGGACAGACAAAAAUUUCUAACCUUCAAAGUCAAGUGAUGCUAAAACAAAUUGUGCAGUAAAAAUGUCCUUUAGAGGUGAAAUGGCAAGAAAUGAUAAAUUGUUAUGUGUUCUGCUGUUCAUUUAUGUGAUUUCAUAGCCUGUAGUGAGAGUGAAUCCCUUCUCCAUUACUGUAUUGAUAAUUUAUUUUUCCUGAUGGUCAGCAGCUGAAAGACUAUGUUGCAGAACAGUAAGGGACAUUAUCUCUUCAGUGUCUCUUUAGCUCACACAGGAGUUGCAAACAUGCAAGGCAGGUCAUACAGUGAGAAAAACUGUAAAUGUAAAGUACUCUCAGGAGUGAUUAAUAACAAUUACAAGGAAAAACAAUUUUGGCACUCAGAAAUAAGUCCUUUUCUAUCCAGAGUCUGUAGAACUUGUCAUUAACUACAGACUUAUCGUGCUGCAGAAGCAAAAUCCACUGUUCUAAAAACUACAGGCAUAUGCACAAGCAUAAAAAUGUGAGUAAGGUUGAGAAACCAAGCACUGAAAAGGUUGUAAGUGCCAAAAUGAAAAAUGCAUCUACAGUCUUUAUUUGGCAUCACAAUGCUUAUGUAUUAUGACACAGAAGCACAUAUUUAAAAUAUUACCUAAUUCAUUACAGCUGACAGUGCAUACUAUUGAAAUUCUUCUCUGAAUCAUUGCCUUUCUCACAGAUUUUUCUAUGAGAUGUAUCACUUGCAUCUGGAAGCACCACAAAAUGCAUUGAUUUAUUACUUUAUGCCAUGUGAAAUGAUGGAAUAUUUUACCCUUAUCUGAUGUGAAGGAAGCUGAAAUAUGGAGAGGUUAAGGUCAAAAGGAUCCAUUAAUUUCAUGUAUCUAACCAAGAAGACUGAGGCCUCAUUUUUCAAAUAAGAUGUCAGCUCUGCUGCUCCUCUUGGGAUUCUUCCAUCAAGAGAAUGCAUGUUCUGUCCGAGCUAUACUGGCAUUUUCUAAAGCCAUCCUCCAAUUUGCUUGCCCAAGACCCACAGAGGAUUGAGAAAAACAACAUGGGAAGUUUUUCAAACUGCUCUUUUUUGUAGGGCUGAUGAUACACUAUGUCUAAAAGAUGUGCAAAUCUCAGGAAAGGAUAAUUUCUAUCUGCUCUGCUGCAGUCUGCUUUCAGCCUACUGUGGACAGUGCAGGAUGAACACUGGGCACAGCUUGGUCAUUUACGCUACACUCUGUUUAGAGACUGAAACUUUGUCAUGGAGGGACUCACUGCAGGCAGGAAUACCACCUUGGAAUUUCCCAGCCCUGAGUUGCAUUUGAAGAAAUACUUGCCAUUGUUCAGCAGCUGGGGAAUUAGAGCACUUGCCCAAGAAAUGCAAGACCUUGGCCAUCACCCUUGUUCUGGGAGGUGAUGAACCCACAUCUUCCUUGUGUCAGAGUUUGGGGAAGCACCAGGCUGGCAGAUAAUCAACAGUGCAGAUGAAGUUGGAUCACUAUGCCAAAAAGACUGUAAAAAAAUCAUGGACCCAGGAAGACAAAACCUCAUGUAAAAUGAGGAAAUGUGUAUUCCCAAUACUGUUUGUGCUUUUUUAUCCCAUGUCCCUUAAAUGGGUGUGGUAGAACUCAGACUGGGAACUGGGAAAACACUGCUGAAGACACAUGGGCCCUCGUGUUUUCCCUCCCAGGCUACUGCACACUGUAAGGCACCAAAUGUGGACAAACUUGGUGUACAUAAGGCAUGAGGGUCCUGUUUGUGUUCAGCAGCUGUAAUAUUGCUUGCAGGUGAGGGAAUCUAAGUAGCAUGAGAAGUCACUUCUGGUCCAGGCACAUUCAGCACCAAAAUCCAGAUUAUAGGAUCAAUUUUGGCCACCCUGACUCUAAUGUGCUUGAAUUUUUCUGUAAACUGUUGUAUUUCACAAACUAUGUGCCAUAGUGCUGGGCUUCAUGGAACCCCAUAGGGAAAGUGUUGUGAAAACAGAUGUUAAUAAUGCAGUUUAUUACAGAUACUGGCUUAUUAAAUUGAAGGACAUUAAGUAGUGAAAUAAAUUAUUAAGAAAAACAGACAAUUCCAGGCAUUUUCUUGGGGAGAAAUCUAAUUUUUUUCUCAGCCACAAUCUCAGUAGGGGUGAAAUAGGAUCCAUUUAACACAGUUUAAAAUGUAAAACACUGAUUUGAUCACAUUGUAUGAGCUGUAUUUUCCAACACUGUGUUCAAAA